rnacentral:rRNA from 1 species
ACACAUGCAAGUCGAACGAUAAGCUGGACUUCGAUUCAGUGGACAGUGGCAGACGGGUGAGUAACGCGUGGGAACGUGCCCUUCGGUACGGAAUAGCCCCGGGAAACUGGGUGUAAUACCCGUAUACGACCUUUUGGUGAAAGAUUUAUCGCCGAAGGAUCGGCCCGCGUUAGAUUAGCUUGAUGGUGGGGUAAAGGCCUACCAUGGCGACGAUCUAUAGCUGUUCUGAGAGGAAGAUCAGCCACACUGGGACUGAGACACGGCCCAGACUCCUACGGGAGGCAGCAGUGGGGAAUAUUGGACAAUGGGCGCAAGCCUGAUCCAGCCAUGCCGCGUGGAUGAAGAAGGCCCUAGGGUUGUAAAAUCCUUUCGCUAGGGAAGAUAAUGACGGUACCUAGACAAGAAGCCCCGGCUAAUUUCGUGCCAGCAGCCGCGGUAAUACGAAAGGGGCUAGCGUUGUUCGGAAUUACUGGGCGUAAAGCGCGCGUAGGCGGCAAUGUAAGUUGGGGGUGAAAUCCCGGAGCUCAACUCCGGAACUGCCUCCAAAACUACAUAGCUAGAGGAUGUGAGAGGAUAGUGGAAUUCCGAGUGUAGAGGUGAAAUUCGUAGAUAUUCGGA